ACAAAGGCUAUGAUAAGAAGUAGUAACAAUCAUGUAAACAGACAGAAAGUUACCGGUUGAUGAGAGGUGCAUGUUGAAUGAUUGUGAAUUCAUCUUGGAGCUGUGUACUGAAAAGGAUUCCUUAGUAGGAUACACCGGCUUAGCACCCGUAAUCAUGUGCUAAAGUAUCGUCAGAUGACUGUACUUACAAAGGUAAGCAAUAUGAGUUGCUUAUGAAAUAAAGGUGGUAACACGUGUUUAAAUCGUCCUUUUG
rfam:Bacillus sp. 1NLA3E, complete genome.